rnacentral:rRNA from 1 species
UGGGGGAUAUUGCACAAUGGAGGGAACUCUGAUGCAGCGACGCCGCGUGAGGGAAGACGGUUUUCGGACUGUAAACCUCUGUCUUAUGGGAAGAAGAAGAUGACGGUACCAUAAGAGGAAGCCACGGCUAACUACGUGCCAGCAGCCGCGGUAAGACGUAGGUGGCGAGCGUUGUCCGGAAUUACUGGGUGUAAAGGGAGCGUAGGCGGCUAGUUAAGUUAAAUGUGAAAGGCAGUGGCUUAACCAUUGUAAGCGUUUAAAACUAAGUAGCUUGAGAUAGAUAGAGGCAGGCGGAAUUCCUAGUGUAGCGGUGAAAUGCGUAGAUAUUAGGAGGAACACCAGUGGCGAAGGCGGCCUGCUGGGUCUAAACUGACGCUGAGGCUCGAAAGCGUGGGUAGCAAACAGG